CCUCCUUUCUAAGGAGAAAUUAAUUUAAAGUUUUUUAAACUUUAAAUAUAUUGUGUACUUUCGUCGCCUACUAAUCCCUUCUUACUUAAUAAAAAAAUAAGUUAAACUUAAUCACGUCUUUUCUUUUUUUUGUUAUACUCUUAAAUCAAAAUGUUGUGUAAGUUGGGGGUGUAGCUCAGUUGGGAGAGCGCCUGCUUUGCAAGCAGAAGGUCAUCGGUUCGAUUCCGUUCACCUCCACCAAAUUAGGCUACGGGCCGGUAGCUCAGUUGGUUAGAGCGCGCGCUUGAUAAGCGUGAGGUCGGAAGUUCAAAUCUUCCUCGGCCCACCAUAUUAAAAGUUUCUCUUAUAUUUUUGUAAGAAGUUUGUUUUUGUAAAUUGUAAAUAUGUAUCCAACUAAAAUUGAUUAUAAAUAAUGAGAAUAUCAAUUUCAUUUAAUGUGCGGAUUUUUUUUCUGCACGCUUAAAAAAUCAAGUGUCUAAGAGCAUAUGAUGAAUGCCUGGGCAUUGAGAGGCGAUGAAGGACGUACAGGCUGCGAUAA
rnacentral:misc_RNA from 1 species